UUUCCCUUUCUUUUCCCAUUUUUUACGCUUCUGAACAGAAAAACAAAAGGAGAACAAAAGACCAAAUUCUCAGCUCUCUCUUGCUUUACCUCUUUCAAUCUCACGCAGAAGAAGAAAAAAAAGAACAAGAACAACUUCUUCAUUUUCUCUCAAUUUCGCCCAUGGUGAACAACAACAAAAACGAAACUUCUUAAAUUCGUGGUGUUCUCUUAUUCUUUUGCUCUUGCGGUUUUCUCUUUCUCUCGUGGUCUCUUAAUAAACAAUACGGUGGUGGAAGUUAUGAAGGUGUGGUGGAGACCACGGAGGCCAUGGAAGUAUACGGAGGAGCUUGCCGGAAAUCAUAGGAACCACCUUUCAAUCUGUAACCCAAUUUCACUCACAAACAGAAGUGAAAACUCAGAGGCGUUAUGCAAAAGGGUUUAUCGGAAGCAAUGAUGAAAGCGCUGAAGCUGCGUCGUGAAUGGACGUUGUUGUUGUGAGCGCUGAUGUUGUUGUGUUCGGUGAUGAGCUGCGGUUGGAUCGGAUGAAGGCAUGAAUCGCGGCUGUUUGUGAAAGAUUAUAGAAAUCGAUUUCAGUUUUGUGAUUUAUUUGGAGGAUUGAUUUUAUGUUGAUGAAUGUUUGAAGAAGGUUAUGGAAGGUUGUAAAUGAAGGUGAUAUGAGGUUCUAUGGAGAGAAGGAUGAAUGUUUGGUGAAUGAAAGUUUACUGAAGAUGAAGUAAGUUGGUAGGUGAUGAAGGUGAAUUGGAGGAUGGGUUUUGAUGCAAGUUUUGGAUCGGUUUCAGCUUGAAGAGAAUUUGGAGGAGAAUCUCUGGUUUAAUUUUGACAUCAUAACAUUGUGAUUUUUCUCCUCCCUUUUUUCAGUGUGAUUGAAGCUGUAUUUAUAGGUGAGAUGAGAGUGAGGGCAUAAUAGAGAUUUGAGUGAGGAUAAGAGGAUAAAAAUUGUUAGAAGAUGCUGAUUUUGUGAGAUCAUGAGAAUAUUCACAAAAUCCGUGAAGAAUGAUGAGCUCGAGAUAGUGAGCAAAAACGUGACUCAAAAACUCUGCAAAAUAUUUUUCUUCCCUGUUUUUUUUCUUCC